AUGAACGCUAGCGACAGGCCUAACACAUGCAAGUCGAGGGGCAGCACAAGGAGCAAUCUGAGGUGGCGACCGGCGCACGGGUGAGUAACACGUAUGCAACCUGCCUGUAAGCGGGGAAUAACCCGUUGAAAGACGGACUAAUACCGCAUAAUACUAAAUUACUGCAUGGUAAUUUAUUUAAACAUUUAUGGCUUACAGAUGGGCAUGCGCAUGAUUAGCUAGUUGGAGAGGUAACGGCUCCCCAAGGCAACGAUCAUUAGGGGUUCUGAGAGGAAGGUCCCCCACACUGGUACUGAGGCACGGACCAGACUCCUACGGGAGGCAGCAGUGAGGAAUAUUGGUCAAUGGACGAGAGUCUGAACCAGCCAAGUCGCGUGCAGGAAGAAUGUCCUUAAUGGAUUGUAAACUGCUUUUGCAGGGGAAUAAAGUGCAUCACGUGUGAUGUUUUGUAUGUACUCUGCGAAUAAGGAUCGGCUAACUCCGUGCCAGCAGCGGC
rnacentral:rRNA from 1 species